rnacentral:rRNA from 1 species
UACGUAGGGUGCAAGCGUUGUCCGGAAUUAUUGGGCGUAAAGAGCUCGUAGGCGGUUUGUUGCGUCGGCUGUGAAAUCCCGAGGCUCAACCUCGGGUCUGCAGUCGAUACGAGCAAACUAGAGUGUUGCAGGGGAGACUGGAAUUCCUGGUGUAGCGGUGAAAUGCGCAGAUAUCAGGAGGAACACCGGUGGCGAAGGCGGGUCUCUGGGGCAACAACUGACGCUGGAGGAGCGAAAGCGUGGGGAGCGAACAGG